rnacentral:rRNA from 1 species
ACUCAAAUGAAUUGACGGGGACCCGCACAAGCAGUGGAGUAUGUGGUUUAAUUCGAAGCAACGCGAAGAACCUUACCAGGUCUUGACAUCCCGCUGAAUGUGCUAGAGAUAGCGCAGGCCUCUUUUGGGGACAGCGGAGACAGGUGGUGCAUGGUUGUCGUCAGCUCGUGUCGUGAGAUGUUGGGUUAAGUCCCGCAACGAGCGCAACCCUUGAUCUUAGUUGCCAGCGAGUAAAGUCGGGCACUCUGGGAUGACUGCCGGUGACAAACCGGAGGAAGGCGGGGAUGACGUCAAAUCAUCAUGCCCCUUAUGACCUGGGCUACACACGUACUACAAUGGCCGGUACAACGGGAAGCGAGGCCGCGAGGCGGAGCGAAUCUCACAAAGCCGGUCUCAGUUCGGAUUGCAGGCUGCAACUCGCCUGCAUGAAGUCGGAAUUGCUAGUAAUCGCGGAUCAGCAUGCCGCGGUGAAUACGUUCCCGGGUCUUGCACACACCGCCCGU